GGAAACUUCCUCUUCUCUCGUAAGGCCGGUAAAGGUUACCUGAUUGAUUUCAACCUGGCAAUGGACUUACAUCAGAAAUAUGGAAACACUGGCUAUACUAAAGAUAAUCAAGCAUUGCAAGGAGUUUAACUCAUUCAUAUCAUUUUUGAGAUGUUCAUGGUCAGUUUUCAGAUUUGUUAAGAUUGUUUGAGUAUGGUGGAUUUCCACCUGAAGCAAACUAUCUGUUACUAGGAGACUAUGUGGACCGUGGUAAGCAGAGUAUAGAGACUAUAUGCCUUCUUCUCGCGUACAAGAUCAAGUACAAGGAGAAUUUCUUUCUUGAUGCAAACCGAACAAUGACUUCAAAGUACAAUCAGUUCACCAUUCAAGUAGUUGAACCAAUGGAAGAUUAGGAAGAAGUUACCUUUUUUUUUUUUUUUUACAGUAAUUUUAUUUUAUUUAGUGUUGAGACUUUUCUUGCUGCUGAGCUUGUUUUUCUUUCUCUUGACUUGUUAUUUAUGGAUUUACAUGGAGUAGUGUAUGCAAGUAUUUCAUAUACCCAAUUUUCUAAAAGUAAAUAAUAAGUAUUAUUUUAUUAUGAUUUA